rnacentral:rRNA from 1 species
UACGUAGGGCGCAAGCGUUGUCCGGAAUUAUUGGGCGUAAAGAGCUCGUAGGCGGCCUGUUGCGUCCGCUGUGAAAUCCCGGGGCUUAACCCCGGGCUUGCAGUGGAUACGGGCAGACUAGAGUGUGGUAGGGGAGACUGGAAUUCCUGGUGUAGCGGUGAAAUGCGCAGAUAUCAGGAGGAACACCGGUGGCGAAGGCGGGUCUCUGGGCCAUAACUGACGCUGAGGAGCGAAAGCGUGGGGAGCGAACAGG